ACUUGAGCAAAGCAAUAGUCACCCACAAGUAUUCAGCCUAUCUUGUCUUAUUGCUUAAAAGUAAAGGCAGACGCUAUUCAACACCUGGGUACCAACAGUUGACAUUUACCCACAUUAAGUGCUAAGGCUGUAGAUGAGGAUUUCUUCUUGUCGGCCUUUAAACAUCCUAGUAAGCCCAGGGCCAACGCUGGCACAGGGGAAGGUGAGGGAUGUGGGUGUGAAUCAUGGCAAUACAGUGAAAGACAGUGAUUUACUGCUUUUGAGGGCGUGCAUGUAUAUGAUUAACGGAUGGAAGUGCAGGACUCCAAGAUUUACUUCCUUCCCUUUCCAGCAGAAUUACCUGAGACGAGUAAAAUCUACUGGUGGAGUCACUCCAUUAUUCUUAUCUGUGGAGAUCUAGAUCUUGAUUUGAAAGUUUCUGAGAAAAUCUUCAGCUCAGACUUGAGGGUCAACUUUACCAGCUGAAGGUUGCCAGUUACUGCCAGUCAGAAAAGAAGCUUUAGAUGUCAACUCCCUCAAAUUUUGCCUCCAGGCCUGCACAAUUAACCUGUACUCACAUUCAGUGCUUUGUCACUAGUGAAGGGCAAACCACAUCCCAGUCCCACUUUGUUCCUUAUUCUCCUGCUCUGGAACCACCUCCUCCUCCCUGCUCCUGAACCACCUCCUUCUUCCUGCUCUGAAACUGCUGAAACGCACCUCCUUCAUCUGGCUUUGGAACCACCUCCUUCUUCCUGUUCUGCAGCCUGCCUCCUUCUUCCUGCUCUGGAACCUGCCUUCUCCUCCUUCCUGCUCUGAAACUGCCAAAACCUACCUCCGUGUUCCUGCUCUGGAACCACCUCCCUUUUCUUGUUCUGGAACCUGCCUUCUCCUUCAUCUUGCACUGGGAUUUGCCGCCUCCUUCCUGCUCUGGAACCAGCCUCCUCCUUCCUG
rnacentral:lncRNA from 10 species